UUAACUAAAAAUUAAGAAAAGAUGAAAAAAAUUAAUUUGUAGUGAUUUGUAAAUUUUCUAUUAAUAAUUUUUUUUUUUAUUUUUAGAAAUAGAUAGUUGUUCUCUGUUUCGUUUAUUUCAUUUUAAAAUAAACUUAGCUAAAAAUGUGAAUCAAUUAGGAUUCGAACUUGAGACCUCGGGCACCAACCACCUAGCCAUUUGCCACUUGAUUUAGAGAUGGUUGAUUAAUAGUAAAAAUUUUUUUAAAAAAAAAUUGGUAGGGGUUUGUAAAUUUUUCAAUAGUAUCUACUCGUUUGACGCCCCACUUUCCAAGGGUCACCAUCUUAAAACUACUCUGGUUCUAACAAACUUAAUUUUUUUAAUCUUUUGAAUCUAACUAUCAUUCAUAAUAUUGUAGUCGGAUUUAAAAAUUUUAGCCCUAUUAUAUAUGAUUAACUCUUUUAAUCUUUUGUGCCUAGUCGCCGUCCAAAAUUUUACAACCGGGUUUAAAAGUUUUAGCCUUAUAAUAUACUAAAUUAUAUCUUAACAACAUUCUACUACCUUAUACUUUAGUAUUAUUCUUAUUUAUUAUAUUAUACUUUUCUUUUCAAAAUCACUAUUUAUUAUUAUAUUUUGCUAAUUUCUAUACUGUAUUUUAAAUUUAAUUUAAAUUUUCUAUUUUCUACUAUUUUUUUUCAUAAAUUUAUUUUAAUCAGUAUUUUUUUAACAAUUUUUAUAUAAAAUUAAAAAUUAUUAUUUAUAAUAUAGAGAUUGAAAAAAAUAAUAAUUGAGUGGUAUUUUUUAAAAAUAUUAUACACCAUCAAAAGAAAUUUUUUUUUUGAGAGAGAUAGGUAGCACAGUACCCGCUUCGUUUAUUUCAUUUAGAAAUAAAUUUCGCUGGAAAUGUGAAUCAAUUAGAAUUCAAACUUGGGUCUCGGAUAAAUG
rnacentral:lncRNA from 1 species